rnacentral:rRNA from 1 species
GAUGAACGCUAGCGAUAGGCUUAACACAUGCAAGUCGAGGGGCAGCACAAGGUAGCUUGCUCUCUGGGUGGCGACCGGCGCACGGGUGCGUAACGCGUAUGCAACUUUCCCUAUACAGGAGGAUAACCCGUCGAAAGACGGACUAAUACUGCGUAUGCUCACAACUUGGCAUCAAGUGGUGAGGAAAGAAAUUCGGUAUAGGAUAGGCAUGCGUCCCAUUAGCUUGUUGGUGAGGUAACGGCUCACCAAGGCAACGAUGGGUAGGGGAACUGAGAGGUUUAUCCCCCACACUGGUACUGAGACACGGACCAGACUCCUACGGGAGGCAGCAGUGAGGAAUAUUGGUCAAUGGGCGCGAGCCUGAACCAGCCAAGUCGCGUGAAGGAUGACUGUCUUAUGGAUUGUAAACUUCUUUUAGACGGGAAGAACAAGAGUCACGUGUGACUCCCUGCAUGUACCGUAUGAAUAAGCAUCGGCUAACUCCGUG